CCUACGGGAGGCAGCAGUGGGGAAUCUUGCACAAUGGGGGCAAGCCUGAUGCAGCCAUGCCGCGUGAUGAAGAAGGCCUUCGGGUUGUAAAGUACUUUCAGCGGGGAGGAAGGAGCUGCGGUUAAUAACCUGCCGAGAGUGACGGACCAGCAGACGACGCCCAGGGGCCCC
rnacentral:rRNA from 1 species